AGCCUGUCUUCCCGGGGAGACCUGAAAGGACAGGGGGCAGCCAGAGCCUCACCCUGAAAUACAGGGGAAUACUCCCAAAUUCCCGGGAAAUGACGGGGAUAAUGUGACUUUGGGGCCAGAGCAGAGGUGCCCAAAAAUCAAACCCAAGUAAUAAAAUCAUUGCUUACCCCACUACACUUUGUGCGGCUACUGAUACUCAUCACCAGUCUGAGGGGCAUGUGGGGCUGGCUGAGGCAAUUAUUAAACCAAAAUGAGAAAGUAAUUACAGUUGUGGACUCUAAUUACUGCAAGUGAAAACAUUUCAGCUGGAAAAUUCUCAUCAUUGCAAUACUGACCUUUGCAAAGGGCUUUAAAUCCUUGAGUGGAAGUAGCAGGCUAUUUACUGAGAAGUAUUUACCGGGAAAAAAACAAAAUGUUCUGAAAUGCUGCAGCAAAAUGGAGGGGAAAAAAAAAGAGAAUAAUAUAAAACAUGUAAGCAGCUUGAUCAAAAUGAAGCAAUAUUGACAGAAAAUGGGGUUUUAAGCAGCAGGACAACAGCAACUCAGAUGGAUUUCAUUCUUGUGGUAUUACAACGCUAAGCCAAGCACCUGGAAGAGAGAGAGAGAGGAAAAUAAUCACGUUUCCCUGGUUUAGAAAAUCUUUUCCUUGUCAUUUAAAAAUACACAUGACAAGUGAAAGCUGUGCAGAGUCCUUCUGGAAAAAAACAUGGAGCGGGGACUUGGAGGUUUUCCCUGCUCCUGCUUCAGAGCUUCCCCUGUGAGUUUAAGGAAGCGCAUCCCUUGUGCCUCAGUUUCCCCUCUGCAGCACACCACUGCCCUUUGUCACCUGUUUGCAGCACAAACGCUUCCAAGCGUGGGCUGACUCCUGCUUAGGAAGCAAAAUCUUGGAUAAAGGAAUGCAGGAAGGAGCAGCUGUCCCUCCAAAUAAUAUGAGUGAGGCACAGCCCUUGUCCCACACUGCAGGACCUCGCUGCAGUUUUGGGGCUGAGAGGUUGUGGAGAUGCCAAGGAUGUCCUUGGGAUGGCAGAGUGCAGCAAAGCCAGGGUGAGGUUUUGGGGGAUGUUUGGGGCUGUGCUUUUCCUACCAGCAAAGCAGGGACAUCGGGGCGGGAGGCUGAUCUCCCAGGAGGUGCCACCUUCCUGGGAUGUCCUUGGAGGGGACAGAAAACAGGGAGAAAAAGAAAAUCUGUUUGCUUGCCCCCAGGUAGACACAGCUGCCACUGCUUUUGCCUGCAAGAGUGAAGGCAGCUACCUCCCCAGGUUCCCCAAUUCUGCCUGCCCCUCUGCCCAGGACAUGAGAGGAAUUUGUGUGUUCCUGCUCUGGCACUGCCUCCCUUUCCAGAGCAACCCCAGCCAAAAAGCGCCAGUCCCUUUCCACACCUCCCACCGGAUCCUCUUUGAAAACAACCCAGGGAAGGCCAGGGAAGCAGAUCCGUGGGGAGAGCCUGGGCUCUGUUCUCUCCUUGUCUCCUGUUCCUCCCGGCUGUGUGGAGAGCUGCCAAAGCCCCUCAGCCUGUGGCACUCGAUAAAGCUCUCCUACAGCGGCUCUGGGAGCAAUAUGGGCAGGGCCUGGGAACAACCGGGAGCCGAGGGAGCAGCCUGGAGGGUUAAAAACAAAAGAGCUCUGAUGACAUUGUGGGUUCAGGUGGGGAGAGGUUCCUAUGGCAGUCUGGCACCCCCUUUGUCUGAGGGGAGCAGCAGCUGGGGAGG